rnacentral:lncRNA from 1 species
AAUUCUAUGUUUGACUUUUGCUUUAUAUUAGUACAAGUUGGCUUCUUAUCAUCAUCAUUAUUAUUAUUAUUAUUAUUAUUAUUAUUAUUAUUAUUAUUAUUAUUAUUAUUAUUAUUAUUAUUAUUAUUAUUAUUAUUUAUUGUUGUUAUUGUUAUUGUUGUUGUCUUUGCACAGCUUCUAACGCUUCAGAUGUACUACAGUGUCAGCUGUUCACUAACAGUGAACUAAGGUAACACCUCUUAUUUUUCGAGCACCUUCCUGAGUGUUCGAGCGGUUCCAAGCAGUGCUGUGUUCUGCAAGUGCUCCAUCCUUAUUGCAGCCCCUAUUUGUUCGUACUUCUCGAGAUUUUUGCUCACUGUUCUCAGGGCUCCGACAAUUAUUGGUACUACUGCUACCUUUUUCAUCGACCACAACUGCUUAACUUCCCAAGCUAACCUGUCAUAUCUCUCGACUUUUCUUUCUUCCUUAUCGCAUACCUUGUUGUCAGCGGGGCAUGCUAUGUCUAUGAUGCCGCGUAGUUUGUUUCCUUUCUUAAUUAAGACUAUGUCCAGUUUCCUAUUCUCAAUCUCAUGGUCGCACUGAAUCAUGAAAACCCAUAGUAUCUUUGCAUUUUCGAGAAUGCCUUCAGGUUUGUAGUCGUACCAAUUGUUUGCUCUGUCAAGUCCAUACUUGUAGUAGUAGUAGUAGUAGUAGUAGUAGUAGUAGUAGUAGUAGUAGUAGUAGUAGUAGCAGCAGCAGCAGCAGUAGUAGUAUUAGUAUUAUUAGUAGUAGUAGUAGUAGUAGUAGUAGUAGUAGUAGUAGUAGUAGUAGUAAGGCGGCGAGCUGUCAAUAUCGUUAGCACGCCCGCGAAAUGCUUAGCGCAAUUUCGUCUGACGCUACGUUCUGAGUUCAAAUUCCGCCGAGGUCGACUGUGCCCUUCGUCCUUUCGAGGUCGAUUAAAUAAGUACCAGUUACGCACUGGGGUUGAUGUAAUCGACUUAAUCCCUUCCCCCAAAAUUUGAAGCCUUGUCCUUCCAGUAAAAAGUAGUAUUAUUAUUAUUAUUAUUAUUAUUAUUAUUAUUAUUAUUAUUAUUAUUAUUAUUAAGGUGGCGAGCCUGAUGUCAGGACAGCCGUGUAUUUCUGUGGUUUCCACGAACAGUCCUAACAAUUUGAAGCCUUGUGCUUCCAGUAAAAAAUAUUAUUAUUAUCAUCAUUAUUAUUAUUAUUAUUAUUAUUAUUAUUAGUAGUAGUAGUAGUAGUAGUAGUAGUAGUAGUAGUAGUAGUAGUAGUAGUAGUAGUAGUAGUAGUAGUAGUAAGGUGGCGAGCCUGAUGUCAGGACAGCCGUGUAUUUGUGUGGUUUCCACGAACAGUCCUAGGAGAUUUCUCUCUUUUGGGGGAAUUUUGUUGUUAUAUUCCAUUGUCUUUCACUGUUUACACGUCGUUCAUGUAAUCCCAUAUACUGCUUGUCUUGUGCUGUCCACAAUGGGUUUUUUUUUAAUGUAAACCCUUUGUGGUUAAUAAAGAAAUUAUUAUUAAGGCGGCGAGCUGACAAAAUCGUUAGCACACCGGGAGAAAUGCUUAGCGAUAUUUCGUCUGUCGCUACGUUCUGAGUUCAAAUUCCGCCGAGGUCGACUUUGCAUUUCAUUCUUUCGGGGUUGAGCAUGUAAUCGACUCAUCUCCUUCCCUAAAACUGCUGUCCUUGUGACAAAAUUUGAAACCAUUAUUAUUAUAUACUUUUAGUUCCUGUCUACUACCAAAGAAGCUUUGGUCCGCCCGAGGUUGAACAGAAGUUACUUGCCCAGAGUGCCAUGCAGUGGGACUGAUCAGGAACCCAGUGGUUGGGAAGCAAACUUUACCACACAGCC